rnacentral:rRNA from 1 species
GGGUUGUCGCUGGGUCUUUGGAGUAUGUGCACACUCAUUAUCUUUAUCCAUUCACCUGUGCACUUUUUGUAGUCUCAAAGAGUAAAUGCAACUAUACUUCAAUAGUUCUAUUGGAUGUGAGGAAUGCUUUGUGAAAGCAUAGCUUUCCUCAAUCAUGUUGCGGUUGCAAUUUGGACUAUGCUCUUCCAUACACUCUAUAGUAUGUUUCAGAAUGUAUCUAUAGGCCAUCGUGCCUCUAAAGUUAAUACAACUUUCAGCAACGGAUCUCUUGGCUCUCGCAUCGAUGAAGAACGCAGCGAAAUGCGAUAAGUAAUGUGAAUUGCAGAAUUCAGUGAAUCAUCGAAUCUUUGAACGCACCUUGCGCUCCUUGGUAUUCCGAGGAGCAUGCCUGUUUGAGUGUCAUUAAAUUCUCAACUACAAUUCCUUUUGAAAGUAAUUGUAGAUUGGACAUGGGGGUAUUGCAGGCCUUUCAAGGUCAGCUCCCUUAAAAUGCAUUAGCAGAACUGUUUGCAAGUCAGUCACUGGUGUGAUAAUUAUCUACGCCAAUAGACAUAAACUGCUCUCUAUCUGAUCUGCUUCUAAUGGUCUUUGUAGACAACCUUUUGAAUAUUUGACCUCAAAUCAGGUAGGAUUACCCGCUGAACUUAAGCAUAUCAAAGCC